rnacentral:rRNA from 1 species
UAGGGAAUCUUCGGCAAUGGGGGCAACCCUGACCGAGCAACGCCGCGUGAGUGAAGAAGGUUUUCGGAUCGUAAAGCUCUGUUGUAAGAGAAGAACGUGUGUGAGAGUGGAAAGUUCACACAGUGACGGUAACUUACCAGAAAGUCACGGCUAACUACGUGCCAA